rnacentral:rRNA from 1 species
UGGAUGAUGUGGUUUAAUUCGAUGCAACGCGAAAAUCUUACCCACCUUUGACAUGGCAGGAAGUAUUUAGAGAUAGAUAUGUGCCCGAAAGGGAACCUGCACACAGGUGCUGCAUGGCUGUCGUCAGCUCGUGUCGUGAGAUGUUGGGUUAAGUCCCGCAACGAGCGCAACCCUUGCCAUUAGUUGCUACGAAAGGGCACUCUAAUGGGACUGCCGGUGACAAACCGGAGGAAGGUGGGGAUGACGUCAAGUCCUCAUGGCCCUUAUAGGUGGGGCUACACACGUCAUACAAUGGCUGGUACAGAGGGUUGCCAACCCGCGAGGGGGAGCUAAUCCCAUAAAGCCAGUCGUAGUCCGGAUCGCAGCCUGCAACUCGACUGCGUGAAGUCGGAAUCGCUAGUAAUCGCGGAUCAGAAUGUCGCGGUGAAUACGUUCCCGGGUCUU